UACGAGUGCCCCGAGCGUUAUCCGGAAUCAUUGGGCGUAAAGGGUGCGCAGGCGGCCAGGUGUGUGGGGCGUGAAAGCCCGGGGCUCAACCCCGGAAUUGCACCUCAAACUACAUGGCUAGAGUACUGGAGAGGGAGACGGAAUUCACGGUGUAGCAGUGAAAUGCGUAGAUAUCGUGAGGAACACCAGAGGCGAAGGCGGUCUCCUGGACAGUUACUGACGCUCAGGCACGAAAGCGUGGGGAGCAAAAGGG
rnacentral:rRNA from 1 species